rnacentral:rRNA from 1 species
GAAAUCUGGUCCCUAGGGCCCGAGUUGUAAUUUGUAGAGGAUGCUUUUGGUGAGGUGCCGCCCGAGUUCCCUGGAACGGGACGCCACAGAGGGUGAGAGCCCCGUCUGGCUGGCCGCCGAGCCUCUGUAAAGCUCCUUCGACGAGUCGAGUAGUUUGGGAAUGCUGCUCAAAAUGGGAGGUAUAUGUCUUCUAAAGCUAAAUAUUGGCCAGAGACCGAUAGCGCACAAGUAGAGUGAUCGAAAGAUGAAAAGCACCUUGAAAAGAGGGUUAAAUAGUACGUGAAAUUGUUGAAAGGGAAGCGCUUGUGACCAGACUUGGGCGCGGCGGAUCAUCCGGGGUUCUCUCCGGUGCACUUCGCCGCGUCUAGGCCAGCAUCAGUUCGUCGCGGGGGAAAAAGGCUUCGGGAACGUGGCUCCUCCGGGAGUGUUAUAGCCCGUUGCAUAAUACCCUGCGGUGGACUGAGGACCGCGCAUCUGCAAGGAUGCUGGCGUAAUGGUCACCAGCGACCCGUCUUGAAACACGGACCAAGG